GGGCUAGGAGUGCAAUGGAAAAACACCAAGAGUAUCCUGGCACUGGUUACACAAUCCUCUUAGGCCAGCAUUGUCCAGUAGAACUUUCGGUGAUGAUGGAAAUGUUCUAGAGCUGUGCUGUCCCAGAUUGAAAUAGGUACACCUGGUGACCUGUGAUGGCAGCUCCGGAGGCAGGCCAUUGGAGAUCAUAACUGCUGUGGUCUUCCAGCUAUGGCUAUGGUGACUGCCUGAAGGCAAGAUUCUGAAUUCGAUGCUGGUGGAAAUAAAUGAUGAAGGAGAUAUGGUCCCUGUCCUUGAGAGAGACAGAACUAAACAUGCGACCGGAAAGUCAAGAGAACAAUGCCAUGGAAAACCUACCAAGGAAUAAGGCACGCAGCAGAGAGAAUAAGCAGAUUACUCUGUACAUUAAAGGAGAUUGUCAGUAUGCUACAUUUCUUCUUAUUCCCUUAUUGCUGUGGGCUUUAUUCAUACUCCGAACUAGAUGAAAGAGAACUGAAAACAAAGAAAAAACAGUAGAAGUUGCAAA